rnacentral:rRNA from 1 species
AGCGUGGAGACAGGUGGUGCAUGGCUGUCAUCAGCUCGUGUCGUGAGAUGUUGGGUUAAGUCCCGCAACGAGCGCAACCCUCACCUCUUGUUGCCAUCAGGUCAUGCUGGGCACUCUAGAGGAACUGCCCCGGUCAACGGGGAGGAAGGCGGGGAUGACGUCAAGUCAUCAUGCCCCUUACGUCCUGGGCUACACACGUGCUACAAUGGCCGGUACAAAGGGAUGCCACACCGCGAGGUAGAGCUAAACCCAAAAAGCCGGUCUAAGUUCAGAUUGGAGUCUGCAACUCGACUCCAUGAAGGAGGAAUCGCUAGUAAUCGCGUAUCAGCACGACGCGGUGAAUACGUUCCCGGGCCUUGUACACACCGCCCGUCACACCACGAAAGCCUGCUGUACUCGAAGUCGCUGAG